rnacentral:rRNA from 1 species
UACGUAGGGUGCGAGCGUUGUCCGGAAUUACUGGGCGUAAAGAGCUCGUAGGUGGUUUGUCGCGUUGUCCGUGAAAACUCACAGCUUAACUGUGGGCGUGCGGGCGAUACGGGCGGACUGGAGUACUGCAGGGGAGACUGGAAUUCCUGGUGUAGCGGUGGAAUGCGCAGAUAUCAGGAGGAACACCGGUGGCGAAGGCGGGUCUCUGGGCAGUAACUGACGCUGAGGAGCGAAAGCGUGGGGAGCGAACAGG